UGCGUAGGCGGAUAAAUAAGUCAGUGGUGAAAUCUUUCGGCUCAACCGGGAAACUGCCAUUGAUACUGUUUAUCUUGAGUUCGGUAGAGGUAGGCGGAAUGUGUAAUGUAGCGGUGAAAUGCUUAGAUAUUACACAGAACACCAAUUGCGUAGGCAGCUUACUAGACCGACACUGACGCUGAGGCACGAAAGCGUGGGGAGCGAACAGGAUUAGAUACCCUGGUAGUC
rnacentral:rRNA from 1 species